rnacentral:tRNA from 1 species
CAUUGAGUGGCUGAAAGAAAGCAUAGGCCUCUUAAGCCUGAUUAUAGCAGUUACGCCUGCUUUCAAUG